rnacentral:tRNA from 1 species
GGCGACAUGGCCGAGCGGUCUAAGGCGCUAGAAUCAGGUUUCAUACCUCAUCUAGUCCGAAAGGGCGCGAGUUCGAAUCUCGCUGUCGUCA